AUUGAACGCUGGCGGCAGGCCUAACACAUGCAAGUCGAGCGGCAGCGGGAAAGUAGCUUGCUACUUUUGCCGGCGAGCGGCGGACGGGUGAGUAAUGCCUGGGAAAUUGCCCAGUCGAGGGGGAUAACAGUUGGAAACGACUGCUAAUACCGCAAAGGCCCUCCGGGGUAAAGCAGGGGACCUCCGGGCCUUGCGCGAUUGGAAAUGCCCGGGUGGGAUUAGCUAGUUGGUGAGGUAGUGGCCCACCAAGGCGACGAUCCCUAGCUGGUCUGAGAGGAUGAUCAGCCACACUGGAACUGAGACACGGUCCAGACUCCUACGGGAGGCAGCAGUGGGGAAUAUUGCACAAUGGGGGAAACCCUGAUGCAGCCAUGCCGCGUGUGUGAAGAAGGCCUUCGGGUUGUAAAGCACUUUCAGCGAGGAGGAAAGGUUGAUGCCUAAUACGUAUCAACUGUGACGUUACUCGCAGAAGAAGCACCGGCUAACUCCGUGCCAGCAGCCGCAGUAA
rnacentral:rRNA from 1 species